rnacentral:rRNA from 1 species
ACUCGAGUGGCGAACGGGUGAGUAACACGUGGGUGAUCUGCCUUGCACUCUGGGAUAAGCUUGGGAAACUGGGUCUAAUAUCGGAUAGGAACCGUCUUUAGUGUGGUGGUUGGAAAGUUUUUUCGGUGCAAGAUGAGCUCGCGGCCUAUCAGCUUGUUGGUGGGGUAAUGGCCUACCAAGGCGUCGACGGGUAGCCGGCCUGAGAGGGUGUACGGCCACAUUGGGACUGAGAUACGGCCCAG